GAUGAACGCUGGCGGCGUGCCUAAUACAUGCAAGUCGAGCGAACAGACGAGGAGCUUGCUCCUCUGACGUUAGCGGCGGACGGGUGAGUAACACGUGGAUAACCUACCUAUAAGACUGGGAUAACUUCGGGAAACCGGAGCUAAUACCGGAUAAUAUAUUGAACCGCAUGGUUCAAUAGUGAAAGACGGUUUUGCUGGCACUUAUAGAUGGAUGCGCGCCGGAUUAGCUAGUUGGUACGGUAACGGCUUACCAAGGCAACGAUGCGUAGCCGACCUGAGAGGAUGAUCGGCCACACUGGAACUGAGACACGGUCCAGACUCCUACGGGAGGCAGCAGUAGGGAAUCUUCCACAAUGGGCGCAACCCUGACGGAGCCACGCCGCGUGAGUGAUGAAGGUCUUCGGAUCGUAAAACUCUGUUAUUAGGGAAGAACAAAUGUGUAAGUAACUAUGCACGUCUUGACGGUACCUAAUCAGAAAGCCACGGCUAACUACGUG
rnacentral:rRNA from 1 species